rnacentral:lncRNA from 1 species
UCUCAGAUCGGGAUGCUCGCAGAUUAUCGAGAAAGUGGGAUUGAUAAAUAAUGUUUGCGAAAACGUAAAGAGAGAGCUAAGUCGCCGCUUACAAAGCGAAGAUGCAAAUAUAUAUAUAGAAAAAGGAAAUUUUUUUUUCUUUUACUGGAAAGAUACAAUUUUUUUUUGGAAAUAAUAUUAACAGUUUAUAUUAUUGCUAAGCAGAAACUAUUUAAAUUUUAGUGAACAUUUAGAAAUGUAUAUUUUCCCUC